CUACUUAGUAGAGAUUUGUUGG
rnacentral:miRNA from 1 species